UCAGAUAGAGGCGCGGGGCUCAUCAGUAACGAACGCUAUAACCGCUUAAACGGGCGUUUGCGAAAGGGUGUUCCGCCGAAACUGCGCAGAUUUUAAGAUCUUCGCCGUUGGGUAAUGUGAUAAUAUCUCAUUAACUGUCACUGUCAAAGUGGAGCGCUAUCGUA
rnacentral:ncRNA from 1 species